UCCUGAAAUCUCUAAAGCCUCAUGCUUUGAUUCCCUCCAAACCCUGCCCCCUCGAUCCUCCAGAGCGCCUCUAAGCUCCACCCCCAUCCGCCAUCUUGCCCCGGGAUUCACCCCGCCCCUAGCGUGAACGCUCGUGGGCCACAGCGGAGGCUGCCGCUAGCCGAAUUAAGCCAGCCACAGUUCUGCCCUUGCACUGCCCCACCCCUCACAUAUACAGGAGGGCAACCUGUCCCAGGCUACUCACACCUGGUACACGGACGACAGCUCCUUUCUAUGUGACGGGACCCGCAGAGCAGGUUAUGCCAUAGUGUCAGAGACAAAGGCGCUCCCUGCUCAUACCACUAACCAGCAGGCUGAGCUGAUAGCUCUCACCCGUGCCUUUCAGCUAGCCACGGGGCAGUCUUUAAAUGUCUACACAGAUUCUAAAUAUUCUUUUUAUAUCCUGUUGUCCCACGCGGCUAUCUGGAAGGAGCGUGGGCUUCUCACGGCAAAGGGAGGAUCGAUUACCAACUCAGAGAGGUCCCAAACAGUCUCUAAUAUUCUUCUCCGAGAGAUCAUUCCUAGGUUUGGACUUCCAACUUCUCUUCAGUCAGAUAACGGUCCAGAGUUUACUUGUCAGAUUUCUCAAAAUCUGUCUAAAGCGCUCGGAAUCCCCUGGAAUUUCCACAUACCGUAUCCUCAGUCAUCAGCACCUUAACGGUGACCCAGCUGCUCAGGAAAAGCCAGACAGAUGUGACUUCUUCAAUCAACUACCUCAGGACGCCAGCGGAUUGGACAGAACCAACAAAAACAACCAUCUCAAAAUGCCAGCGGUCAGAAGAACCACCAGGACAUCGCCAAGAUCAUCGGAUACAUCAGGGACCCAUCAACGCCCAAAAGCCAGCAGAAAGCAGUCAUGAAAGACUGGGCUACGCCCCUAUUCCUUACCCUCUAAGGCCCCCCCAAUUUUUUUAACAAAA